rnacentral:rRNA from 1 species
CGGGGAGGCAAUUCCAUAAAACCCAUCUCAGUUCGGAUUGCACUCUGCAACUCGAGUGCAUGAAGUUGGAAUAAAAAGUAAACACGGAUCAGCAUGUCGCGGUGAAUACGUUCCCGGGCCUUGUACACACCGCCCGUCACACCAUGGGAGUUUUUUUUACCAGAAGUAGAUGCGCUAACCGCAAGGAGGCCUUUUCCACGGUAGGAUUACACGACUGGGGUGAAGUCGUAACAAGGUAGCCGUAUCGGAAACCUGCUUACUGA